CUUAGAGGGAAAAAAAGAAGCAUUGAAAGCUCUAUCAGGCUGCCACCGCUGAGGUUUUUGUGGGAAACACAGGAAGAGUGAAAACGGCCACUCAGAACUCAACAGUUCUAAAGAAAAGCAGCGACCUGAAGGCCGAAAGGGCACAAAACACGGCGCGGCUGUGGUGCCAAUCAGGGGACGGCAGUGCAGCUCCCUGCCGCGGAGACAUCCCGCCUUCCUGCUGCAGAGCCCCUCUGUGGAGCUCCGGAUGAGCCGCUCCGGCCCGGCCCAGCACAACGUUAGCCUGAGAGGAUGUCAGGUGUUUUUUUCCCCACUUCCUCCGCGGAACAACACACUGCAAAAGGAUAAAGGCUGAUCCAGUAUAGCAACCUUUCUGAGACCCGCCUUAAGGCUAAGAUGAACAUUCAGGAGAUGGAGAAACCUGAAUGUGGAGGCUUCAGAACUUCCCCCCAGAGGACAAGGAAUUAAAGGAACUUCGUCUUGUGAACCAAAGUCACGUGUCGGCUGUUAUCAGGUUAUGGUCUCACAUCCACUUGAGUAGCAGUAACUGAAUAAUUGAAUGUUCCCCUUGAACCAAAUAGUUUGCUCCUGGAAUUACAGAUACUCCCUUCAAUGGCACCUUAAUGGUUACACAGGGCACUGAGGAAGGCUCAAACCUUCAUAACUACAGUACAGCUCCCUCCAUCCAGGUACACUGGGCGUUUGGCAUUCAUACGAAGUUUCUUUGGCAGG
rnacentral:lncRNA from 1 species